ACAAACCCCCUCCCCACCCAAAGUUUGAAAUGAAGGCUGGGGUGAAAAGAGGGAGGAAAAGUGACUGGAAUUCGUGGCAGCAGCACCCCAGGACAUGUAAAGGUCUCUGCCUGCCUCCAAGUCCACCCUACCGGCUGCUGCUGCUGCUGGAGGAGUCCUUGGGGGCUGCCCCAGUGCUGUUAAAUAACCCUCUUCUGAUGUAUUCAUGUGGAGACACUUGCUCCCAGCAGCUUGGGAUACACGUGUGGGUGGAUUUCAUAGCAGCAGCAAGACUCUCUCAGCUGUUGAAUAUGACCCCCACAGGAGCACCUUAUAUUUGAAAAGACUUCACAGUUGUGUGUAAGAAGAUAAGCUGUCACAUAUGUCUUCCUGGAUAGAUUACAUGGCUGAGUUAGAUACCCCAUCCUUCCUACUAUCUCGCUAUGAACAGAUACUGUGGUGAUGAGCGAGAACCACGACUACAGUGAGAGAGCAAGAAUUACAGAAGUGGUAUGGAAUCAUACAUUGUCUCCUGACUCCAAACAACAUGAGCAACACAAUGGAAUGUCACUGCCUUUUAAAGAAGUGGGUUGGCAAGUGCACUUGGUUGUGCAAGGAGACUGAUUCUUAGAAGGUGGAAAAGCUGUCAUGGCUCACAAAGAGAGAGGUAUGUUGACCCAACAGAAAUUACUUGCUAUGUGCAACUUAUUUAUAAGCAGACUUAUGACAAAAUUGAAUAGUUGCCUGUGACAUGGGAAGAUUUUCUCUCUUACAGAAAGGAACACACAGAAGCCACUAGUAAACGGUACAGGAUGGGGGAUGCUGGGUAGCAUUUUUGGACUUUGUUUUUCUAGGCCCCGAUUCAGGAAACCACUUCAGCUUAAGUUCAUUCCCUAUUCAGCAAAGCAGUUAAGCUCAUAUUAAGUCUUUUCCUGAACUGAGAUGCUUUCCUGAAUUGGGGCCCUACAAGAGAGAUCAUGUGCAUGCAUUUUGUUGAUUGUUCCCUAGUUUGCUGUUAUGUAUAUAAUUUCAGUUUUUAAAUCAAUAAGGCAUUUUAAUCUUUGAAAAAUCAUGCAUGAGAGUACAUGACAAAAGCAUAUUUGGCAUUGUUUCUUUCCCUUGUUCCUAGUCACACUGUCUUGAGUGGUCUUCACUCAGUAAUUAGGUUAAGUAGCUCUUGCAAAAUGAGCUAAAGAUGAGAUGCAGAGCUGGAACAGAGAGACACCUGAGGUCAGUUAAGGUUAGACUCCUGCUGCAAUGCUAUAAGAGGAAUUCCCCUCCCCCCACUUCCUCUUUUAGCAAAGCCUCAUGGGGAACAUCUUCCCUUUAAAGACUGCAGGUUUUGCAUUAGGAGGGGGAGUGUGAGAAAGCUGCUGUCAGCAUAAGCACGCUGUGCUGCUUAUUCCAAUAAGAUAUUGAUGUUGCCCUGUAGAUCCCUGCUCUGCUUUCCCGUAUAAUAUAGAUCUAUUGGUUUCCUUUAUGUGUUGAUCAACAUGCUUUAUUCUCUUUGUUCAAAAAUAAAACUCUCUCUGUGUGUCUGCGUAUCUGAUUGUACAGUGCUGUGUCUACAUGUGCUGAGGAGUGGAAGCAGCAGAGCUCCAAAAGGGAAACGGCGCUCUCUCUUGCAAAGACUUUUUGCUAAAAUAAUGUGACUGCAGUAGUUCAUAUUUGGAAAAGGUAGAAAUAAGCCAGCCAACAACAUAUUUGGAGUGAACAGUAAUCCCCAUAUCAACAGGGUGAGAAUGCUGAUCUACCAGCAAGAUGGCAGGAACAUAGCAAAUGUCCUAUUGGAUUUGACCAAUGAACUAUCUAGUCCAGUAUCCUGUCUCUGAUAGUGACCAGAACCAGAUGCUUCAGAAGAAGAGCCAUGAAACCCUGCCGUAUGUAAUGAUGGGAUAACCUACUCCUGGUUCCGCCUCUUGUUGAACUGGAGUACUGAAGUCAACGGGCGAGUGCUCUCCCAUUGACUUAGCGCAUCUUCACCGACCCUCUAAAUUGAUACCCGCUGCAUCGAUCACAGCGGCGCUGAUUUAGCGCUGUAGUGAAGACUAGCCCUAAAUAAAGACUAAAGCAAACCACUAGAGCCUCAAUCUGGGAAGUGUUGAGCAUGACUGUUUUACUUCAUGAGUCCAGUUGUUAAUGCUAUUGAGCCUUUGAAUGUUGACAUGCAGGAAUUUGAGUGUGCACAUGAGUUUUUUGGAAGGCAUCCUUUAGUUUGUGCUCCCAGUAGAGUGCAUGUUGCUUUGACUGAGGUGGGACCAACAAACUGCAACUAUCCUUUGUAUAGUCUGUUCCUCACUCAUCUCUGUACUAUUUUCUUCCUCUUCCCAGCCUUUUCACACAUUUCACCAUUCCUUUUUUAGCUAAGGCGGUUCAUCAGCCCUUGCAGGGGACCACUAGGCUAACUGGAGCCAAGAAGUGGUUGUCGUAGUUGGGCCAGUCCACUGGAUUUUCCCUGACUGUGUUACGGAUUGCACAUGGGCUAUCAUGGCCUGCUGAAGGCCAUGGUACAGGGACCCUAUUUUCUUUGCCUUCUGCAACUACUUUCCACCUGCUCAGAUGCUACAAUUUUGCGAGUUUCAGGUGGCUCAUGUAAUUACUUUGUGUUGCUUAUGUUUGUUGUAUAGGUUGUUUAAAUUAUGCUGUUGUUCUGUGCUGUUCUGAGUAAUCUCAUGACAACAAAACACAUGUUAUAAUUAUUUUGCCUUGUUUAUUUGUUGGAACU